rnacentral:lncRNA from 1 species
UCCCCCCAUGCUACGGUUCCCUGCGGUCCGGCCGCAUUAGGUUAGGGAGCUGGGCGAUAAUAGCUCCUCCGCAUCCCAAGCGCGCUGCCCUCCUAGGCGCGCAACACUAAGUAAUCCAAGCCAACCCACAUUACUGACUAACGGUGGAUAAUCAUCUUUCUUAGAGGUACUAAAUACAACUCCAUGAAUGAGCAAAAUGAAGGUUGCGUUAAUGAUAAAGAUCUCUGGGGAAACCGCUAAAAAAAGAUUGAACAUGUGGGAGGGAGGAGAGAUAACGAAUUCUGCUUUCAUUUCCCCCGUUUUCAAAAUCACAGAGUGACUUACGGAAUGUAAAAUCUUUCUCGACGCCGGCCAGGCCGGACAUCAAAUUGAGGGGGCCCACCUCACCUCUCCCCUUCCCCUGGUCAAUGGCGGUGACUUGAUUGACCAGGGCCGCCCCACUACCCCCCUACGACGAUUUUUCGAUUGGUCUUCGGACCAAGUCGAAGAGGAAGCGCUCGUUCAUGUCGUCCCCCCACCGCUCGGGUUGACUCUCUCUCUUGAUAGCAUUUAAGAGAUUUCGGAGAGCGUUGACAUCGGCUUCCGGGGACUGAUACUCAAAAUUCUGGGCCAUUUCAUCCGCAGAUCCGAGAAAGUCGAAGCUUUCUCUGCCUCUUGCGCAGUAUUUGCCGCAGAAAGAAGCCCAUACCCCCACAAUAAUGUUUGCAAAAUUUUUUUAGGAGUAGGGCUAGAGCCUUACGAAUUUGCUUUCGUAGUUUCUCCUUUUGAGCAUCAUUAUCGUCGUUAGGAAGGCCGGGGGCGGCGGGCCCGCGUGGAGCCGGGGUGCCGUCGGCACCAAUCCGUUGGUCUUGCGUUUCCAUAAGGUAAGUCCAAGCCGACCUCCAUAAAGCGCGAACCAAGAUCCGUGAUACGAAAACAAAAAUCAGAAGUAGGACCAAACCGAGAGUGAGCAGCAUAGACAAGGAUGGAUUUUGCGCUACUUCGGCCGCUUCGAGAACAUCCGUUGCUCUACCUAUCUCCUGACUAGAAGCAUUGAUAGUCUCUCUUAGAGCCUCAAUAUCUAAGCCAGCCAAGGAUUGACUCAUUGUCGGACUCAGUUCUGGGAGGGAGGACCACAAAAUGCUAAAUCCAAUACAUAAAAAAGGUAAAAGGACAUUCAACAUUUCUGCUAAUACUUCUGUCGGGAUAGAGGAUAAUACCGGAUUAUGGAUGGAGAAGUAAGGAUUCGGGGGUAGACUCAAUUGUUUCAUUUUGAUCCCCGGCUUCGGGACUCUUUCCUGGAUUAUAUGCCCCAAUCCUCUUUCGGGGGACCGAAGUAACAGGUCCUUCGACUUCCUUUGUGACUGUUCAAUAACACCGUAUAUACUAUUCUAUUGGUUCCUACCAAAGCCUUGACAAAUUUGACGGGCUUAAUCCCUAUGCGAGUUAUAGGACGAGGAGGGGAAAUGUUAACCGGAACCGGGGGUAUGUUUACUCUCAAGCUAGAUGGAGUCCAAGGAUGCUGCGCAGAACGAGAUUCCAUUCCAUGCCUAUGUUUAACCGACACAGAUAGCUUUCAUUUAUGCGCCACAAAAGCAAUCAUGAGAUUACCAACUUCUUCUUAUUUUUAAAGCGAGAAACUCACUUCUUUUCUUGAAAACCCUACCUCUCUUAUCUUCUUAAUUAAUGCGAGGUGAGGGGAUUAACGGACUUAGCGGACGGGGUUAUGUCACAAAAAAUAUGGGAGGAGGGGGGCGUAAGGUAUCCUUUCACUUUUACUAACUUUGACUAUAUACCAUCAUACGUCAUUUUGAUCCCUUAAAUCGUGUACUUAUAGUAUAGUACUAAGAGUAAGAAAACCCCCAAUCAAUCUAACAGCUAUUUAGAGAGGAAAGCCUUCUUCCUUCUUUCCUAGAGAUUACAGAAGGGCAUCCGCUUAGAAUCAGUCCUUAACUUAAUUUAAGGUCAGCGCAUUACGCUUCUUGAACCCCGUGCAAUCAAGGGGGAUACUCAACUACUUAAUAAGACGGAUAAGGAAAGAAAGAUACUCAAAAAUGACUUGUCAAAAACAAAAAAUCUCGUGCAAGCACAAUAAUGGAAAUGGAAUUCAGUGAUUGAUAUGGAGCCGAGCUAGAGCCGAGCAGGGCGAACCAAGCAAGAAAACCGGCUGGAUUGACUGGCUAGCUCAUGCAAUCUAUAGUCUAGAUUCCAUUCCCUCGAUCCACUCUCAUUUAUCUAUGUCAUUUCGAGAGACGAGAGACAAAAGAGAAUGAAGGUAUUGGGCCAUACCAACCUGAACUUAGUAUUAUAUUAGAAUAGAAGAUUGCUUCAUCUUCAAGGAUUGGGGUGGAAAAAGAGUUUAAGGAAGGGAACAUCACUCUCUCUAAGUCAGUUUUGGUGGACCCUCCCCCAACAGAACAAACCAAUGCCAUUCAGAUGGUAACAGGAGAAGACCCAUUCUGGGGGCAGUUUCCUUAGGAGCAGGUUGAAGAAACUUCAAAGGGGAUCCCAAAGGAAAUGCCUAAAGAACUCUGGGAAAUAGUCAUCUCCAAAAUACCAAAAAGCUUUUGAAGAGAUUGGCCGCCAUGCCCGGCAUCAAGUGGAAGAAGGCUUGUAACCCCUCAGGUUCUUCCACUUCCCAAGCCUCAGGUGUGCAAACGAAGGGGUAGAAAAUCCGUUCCUGUUGAACCUGCUCAACUAAAGCAUAAGAAAUCCGCCUUGGAAGAAUACAUAGAUUCCUUGGAUGACUAUGUCCAGAAAGAAUGGGCAUUAGUCAGUCACCCUCCAAGAAUACUUCCCCGAGGAGGUUAUGAGGGUCCUUCAGAAACUAAACAUUAUAUGAAUAAGAAGUUUUUCCCACCUUAAGACACAUUGAAGCAUCACUUCUGCGAAAGGACUAUCAGCUCAGGGUCCUGGAGUCAAAAGUGGACACUCUGACGGAAAUCCUCCUUAGUAUGGAAGAGCGAUUCGAAAUGUUCGGAAUGAAGCUGUCAAUCAUAAACCAGAACACUACCAAGAACAUUCCAAAGAACCUACUAAAGCCAAGGCCCGAUGAGAAAGGCGAAACCAGUUCCCAACAGGCUUGAAAGUUAGAUGACCAAACCAAGAUCAAAGGAAAAACUCCCCUUUCUGAAGGAAUCCCCAAGCCGAGUCUGGUUGCCAAAAGGGAUGUCUGGCAGAUGAAAGGCAAAGGAGUUGCCUACUCUGUACCUCCAGUCCAAAUAAAGCCGACUGUAUCUCAGCCUAAGUCGAGAAAGCUUGACGAUGACUUUGUCUUCAAAAAAGAGAAGGUUGGCAUUAUCUUUUCCCAUGCCUUAAGGGCUGGACUAGAACUUCCCCCUCUCGAUCCUCAACUCGCCUUUCUCUUUACAUACAUUCACUUCAUCCUAUAGGCGCAGGGAGCUCUUCCCUGGUGUGGUAGUUCGAUGAGCUUGAACCAUUGCCGUCUCAUAUGCUGUCUACUCUGCUAGCUUACGUGUGCUGUCUACUCUUAGUAUAGUAGUGCGCUAAGCUUUUUCUCGCUGCGCUGUGCCCGGUGACCAACAAAGCAUUAUUGAAAGAAGACAACAACGGGAAUAGCCCUAUAGUUUAGUUGACUUCCCCCGUUACUCUCAACUCAGACAGGGCAGGGGAAGAUCUCUGAUGCUACUACCAAUACCUAGUGUGUUUGCGGAUAGAUGGCCUACCGAGCAAGCCCAUACCGGGGCGAAGAAGCAUACCGGGCCUACUAAGUGAAGAAUCAUACCGAACAAACCAAGCCUGUCGAAUCGAGUUCAUCGACUGAGCCUGACCGUAGCGUCUCAUCUCGAACUACCGAACCAAAGGGGCUGAGCCGAUGCCAACUCCUUUUGUCUCCCUCAAGCAUUGAAAGAGGAAAGAAAGUCAGCCUAGAUAGGGAAGACUUCCUUCCGUGUUAUACUCUAAAGUCUGCUACCCUAAACUCCUAUCAAGGCGGGGCGAGACUGUCAACUACUAUCAAGGUAGGGAAGGUGAUGCUACUACCAAUACCAGGUACCGGGUGAAUCAUAUCGAGCGAAGAACCCUACCUUGCUGUCGUAUCGAAGCGAUCGGGGAAAGGGGCUUACCCGGACCGAGCAAGUGCUUUCACGGUCUGCUAUUCCUGCUUCAAAGCAUUUGCGCACCUUUCCUUUACUACGAUAGAUGACCCACUACUGGAACUAUGCUAUUACUGGGUGGGACUACUCCACUACUGGGAGAGACUAUUUGACUUCUGACUGACUUACUGAUCCAGAGAGAGCAAAGACUGACGGUGAGGCUUCUUUCAUAAGGUGGGCAGGGCUAUUCCUUUCUAUUCCUGCUUCAGUAAAUGACAAAGGAAGAGGGUUGGUAUUCUCAUCAAGGUUUAUCCGGUCGCUGAGCUAUUCUUCGCUCCUGGCGGACCAUUACGUGUACUGUCUACUCUGCUCUUUAUGGAAGAGCCGACUCCACAGGAUAAGGCUUCCGCUAGGGGAUAUGAGGCUUUCGUUCGAUACAAAAGAUUCAUCAACAAAGGGGAUGGGUAUGGUAGUUCGGGUGGGGAAUCGUUAAAGAGGAAGGGAAUGGGAAGUGGAAAGAGGAGAAGCAAACAGCACAGCUAAAUAGGCAUUAGCGCGCUAACACUCAUGCUCCUUUGCUGCGCUUGUGCUUCCUAGCUAGAACUCACAGAGCACACAGCGCAAACAUAAGGGCAUGAGCACGAAGCAAAGGCAUAGAGGCUAGCGCGCACUAAGCAUAGUCUUAUAGGCCCUAGCGCGCAGAGCAAUAGUAAGCUACUUCACUCGAGAAGAAGAAAGACGCUCUCGCUCG